rnacentral:rRNA from 1 species
GUAGGUGGCAAGCGUUGUCCGGAAUUAUUGGGCGUAAAGCGCGCGCAGGCGGUUCUUUAAGUCUGAUGUGAAAGCCCACGGCUCAACCGUGGAGGGUCAUUGGAAACUGGAGAACUUGAGUACAGAAGAGGAAAGCGGAAUUCCACGUGUAGCGGUGAAAUGCGUAGAGAUGUGGAGGAACACCAGUGGCGAAGGCGGCUUUCUGGUCUGUAACUGACGCUGAGGCGCGAAAGCGUGGGGAGCAAACAGGGAUUGGAUACCCUGGUAGUCCACGCCGUAAACGAUGAGUGCUAAGUGUUAGGGGGGUUUCCGCCCCCUUAGUGCUGCAGCUAACGCAUUAAGCACUCCGCCUGGGGAGUACGGCCGCAAGGCUG